rnacentral:rRNA from 1 species
GACAGAGGUGCCGAGCGUUAGGCGGAAUCACUGGGCUUAAAGCGUGUGUAGGCGGACUUGUAAGUACCUUGUGAAAUCCCAUGGCUCAACCAUGGAACUGCUUGGUAUACUGCUUGUCUUGAGCCACUUAGGGGCUACCGGAACAAAUGGUGGAGCGGUGAAAUGCGUAGAUAUCAUUUGGAACGCCAAUGGUGAAAACAGGUAGCUGGGAGUGUGCUGACGCUGAGACACGAAAGCCAGGGGAGCAAACGGG